rnacentral:lncRNA from 1 species
UUAGUUGUUCUUAAUAGAUUGAUAGUUCUGAAACUUUUCUUUGUGUUGUGUAUCAUAAGUUCCACCCUCAAGUAGAACCCUGGGGGUGAUAAUCAGGCUCCCACUGGAUAUUCAUUUUCUUUAAACACACACACACACACACACACACACACACACACACACACACAAAUAGAUGCCAAAAAUUCCAUGAAAUAAAUCGGAAUUUGAAAAUCCCUAUCCUGGAUAAUUCCAGGGAAAACACCUUCUUGGAUCUUUGGAAAAUCAGCACUAUGUAAGAUACUUAUUUUCUUGUUAAUUUUAGUCCCUAUUUUAAAAUAUUAUGUCCUUCUGGAAAGCUCAAGUGUCUUAAAUUAUGAUAUCCUUUAAUUUGUGCUACUCAUUAUUUGCAUACAGAAAUCUCAUGAGCUUCAGUGUCCUCUCUUUUUAUGUGUUUCCAGAGCACAAUCAUUGUGGAGAAGACAGUGCAAGACCUCAUGAACCUGAUGCAUGACUUGAGUGCAUAUUCCGAUCAGUUCCUCAACAUGGUGUGCGUGAAGCUCCAAGAGUACAAGGACACCUGCUCUGUAGCCUACAGGGGCAUUGUCCAGUCAGAAGAAAAACUUGUCAUCAGUGCAUCUUGGGCAAAAGAUGAUGAUAUCAGCAGACUCUUAAAGUCAUUACCAAACUGGAUCAAUAUGGCUCAACCCAAACAGCUAAGGCCAAAGAGAGAAGAAGAAGAAGAUUUCAUAAGGGCAGCCUUUGGCAAGGAAUCUGAAGUUCUAAUUGGGAACCUGGGUGAUAAAUUAAUCCCUCCACAAGACAUCCUCCGUGACGUCAGUGACCUCAAAGCCUUGGCUAACAUGCAUGAAAGCUUAGAAUGGUUGGCAGGCCGAACGAAGUCAGCUUUCUCUAAUCUUUCUACAUCUCAGAAGUUCACUGUUUCCACUAUCUCAUCCCUCUAG